CUGCCCGCCGAGGCUCCGCGCGGUGCGGUGCUCCUGCUGGGGUUUUGCUGUUGGCUGCUGCGCGGUGGCUGGCUGGGUAGCUGGUUGUGGCGGGAGGUGCCCCGGGGAAAGAGAAGCGCGCUUGUCGGGAGAGGAUCGCCUUGGGCGAAGAAAGGGAGUCUCUUGCGCUCGUUUCCAGGGCGCCUCCGGCUAUGGAGGCCGCUUUGGUGAAGCCGAUGGUGGCGGAGGUGAAGCCAGGUGCGGUGAGCGCCGUGAGCGCCGAGCUGGAGGUGAAGAAGCUGCAGGAGCUGGUGCGCAAACUGGAGAAGCAAAACGAGCAGCUGCGCAAUAGAGCCGCUGCCACCUCCCCUGCUUCGCCGCCUGGCCCGGGCCCCAGCAGCCCUCUGCAGCCGCGGCUGGUAGCCUCCGCCGCCGCCCCGCUAGUCCCUCGCAGCAGCUCCCCUCCAGCCGGCAGGUCGAGCCCAGCGCCGGCUCUCGUGUGCCAAGCCGAGCCCUUCGUCUACUUCAAGCCAUCCCCCACCGGGGGACCCCACGAAGCCCUCGCCGCCCCUUCCAUCCUCCUGCCCCCGGCCAGCCUUUUGGAUGAGGUGGAAAUCCUGGAUCUUCGGAGGCUGGCUGGCUACGGCCGGGAAGAAAAGGCAGAAGAGCAGCAGCGGUUCCAGGAGGAGGAGGAGGAGGAGGAAACCUGGCUAUAUGCUGCACCUGUUAAGGGUAUCAUGCAGCAAGAAAAGUCAUUGACUCCUCUGCAGUGGUGUCGACAUGUUCUUGAUAAUCCAAGCCCUGAGAUGGAAGCUGCCAAGCGUUCUUUGUGCUUCAGGCUGGAACAAGCUAAUAGAUGGCGGAGUCUCUUCUCUUCAUCUGUAUCCUUGGCUUUUCCUUAUAGUCCUGUUGCAAGGUUUACUCCAUAUAGCAAUAGCUUUAACAGCCCUGCGUUCCCUAAAACCUUCAGCAAAGCAAUAUUAACACCUGAACAAACAGAUUGCAUUUCUAGAAGUUCUCCUCUUAGUCCCCAGUCAUCUCUGGACAGUGAAUUGAGCACCUCAGAAUUAGAAGAUGAUUCCAUUUCCAUGGGGUAUAAACUACAAGACCUCACAGAUGUCCAGAUCAUGGCUCGCCUACAAGAAGAAAGCCUGAGGCAAGAUUAUGCUUCAACUUCAACAUCAGUGUCAAGAAACAGUUCCAGUGUAUCGCUUCCUUUGAUCAAAAAAGGGAUCAGUGGUGAUCAGGAAUUUGAUCGUUAUAGCCUUGAAGAUGAGGAAGAAGAAUUUGACCACUUACCCCCUCCACAGCCUCGACUCACACGUUGCUCUCCUUUCCAAAAAGGAAUUUCCCAUUCCCAAACGUUCUCCAAUAUACGGGACUGUAGGAGGAGCCCAAUUUCCCCAUAUUUUCCCUAUAGUAAUAAUCAACAGCAGCCAUUUUGUUCUCCUCAACCCCCAAAUCUUCUGGAGUCUCAAUCAAGCAGAAUUAAUGGAGACAAACUCCGAAGAAGCAUGCCUAAUUUAGCUCGAAUGCCAAGUACCCUUACUGUCAAUACAAACAGCAGCCCUGCAGGUUCUGUGAGGAACAGUCUAAGUUUUGAUUCUAACUUGCAUGGAGCCAGUAAUGGGGUGUCCAGAAUGCAGUCUUGCAUUCCUUCACCAGGGCAACUUCAACACAGAGUCCACAGCGUGGGACACUUUCCAAUAUCUGCCAGGCAGCCCCUCAAAGCUAUGGCCUAUGUGAGUCCAACAGUUCAAGGAAGUAAUAGCGGCAGUGGCCUUGCGUUGUCCAGUAGUAGCUUGCAAAUGCACUCCAGUACAAGCAUUCCAGUGCCAAACAAGACUGCAAACACAAAUAUUGUAACUCGUAGUAGUCUUCCUAGGCCUUCCCUGGCCAUAGGUGGAAGCAGUAUACCUAGGAGCAAAAUUGCACAGCCAAUUCGAAGUUUUCUCCAGCCACCGAAACCUCUUUCUUCAUUUACUACUCUACGGGAUGGUAACUGGAGAGAUGGCUGCUAUUGAUGUCAGAUCAAUCUGAAUCCCAUUCAAGAAAUAGCUCAGAUCUCCUACCCAGCUGGCUGGGUCCACAGAAACAUAUUGAGGAAGAUUCAGUGGUUCCGUUUCAGAGAAGCAAAGUGGCAUUCACUGGAACUUUGAACUUCACUCAACAUGCCUGUGUUGAAACUUAAAGAUUUAGGGGAGGAGGGGGAAAAAAAGGGAAACUGAUGUAAUGUGGACUGGGAAUGGAAAAGCAAGGAGGCACGUUUUGUCUAACUGGGCAGAAACUGAAAGAUGUCCACAGAAUAUUGAAAAUGUUAAAUAGAACAAGGAGCUUCUGGAAGGAAGGAAGAAAAUAUGGGGCAAGGAAGUCGAUUAUCUUAAUGAGCCAUUGUUAGAUCAAGCACAAGAUAAUUUUUUUAAAAAUGGUGGUUGCUGAAUGGCAGAGAACAGAGGCUGGCAUUAGCCAGCCUCUAGAGCAGGCCUGUUAAACUGGUGGCCAAUGGACCGGAUGUGUUACAUGCAGGCCACGCCCACCCUGGCUCCACAAAGACAAAAACAUCACAAUACGUCACAUGACGCGAUCGGAUUUGACACCCGUGCUCUAGACCAGCGGCCCCCAACCUUUUGGGCACCAGGGACCGGUUCCGUGGAGAAAGGAUUUUCCGCGGACUGGAGGAGGCGUGGUUUUGUGUGCUGCCUCCAUCCCAUGGAUGAGGCUUCACUUGUGUGCACGGCCAGGUUGCUGGUACGCCACGGACUGGUGCCAGUCCACAGACCAUGGGUUGGGGACCCCUGCUCUAGAGGACAAUGAGGAUGCCCCAUGCUACAGCCAAUCAAAAUCAGAAGGAAGUGUUUGAGACCAUCCCCUUGAAAUGACUUAAAACGGCUUAGGACAGAAGUCCUUUCUUUCUCAUUUUAUUAUUCUGUUAUCUGCUAUGAGCUGAAAGUGAGUGGAAGACAAUGUCAUCCAUUCACCCCAGCUGUGUUUUCUUAGGUUUGCCCCGCCCCCUCACCAAGUGCAUUUCCUUUACCAGAAUUCAAAGAGGUGUGCUUUCAAGUACCUUUGUCUAGGGUUGUGCCCUAAGAAUCCCACUCAAUACAGCAUGGUGACAGAGGAAGGAGAGACACAGAGACAGAAACUCUAUUGAUGCAUUGAAUUUUCCUUUAGAAGUUAAUUGCUUUGGUUUGUAUUCAGGUUGCCUAACAAUGAAAUAUUGGUAUAAUAAAUUCAAAUAACUAAUUAAGUGUUGCUGAGAGAUGGGAAAUUGAGUAGAAGUGCUUUGAUAACUAAAGAUGUGUAUAUGUCAGGCAAGUCCAUUUCCAUUCUGUUGACCUGCUUACUAUUGCAGGCUUCUCUUGGUUUUUCUGCUACCUAUAGAAAAAUGUUCUGCUCAAGAUCUUUUAUAGGGCAAGGGUUCGACUUAACAUUAUUCAUUAAAGAAGAUACAGAAAGUUUUUCUAUUGCUGUACUCUAACAUUUUAGAGGGAUGCAGUAGCUCAGUGGCUAAAACGCUGAGCUUGUCGAUCGAAAGGUAGGCAGUUCAGCGGUUCGAAUCCCUAGUGCCACGUAACGGGGUGAGCUCCCAUUACUUGUCCCAGCUUCUGCCAACCUAGCAGUUCGAAGGCACAUAAAAAAUAGGGACCACCUUUGGUGGGAAGGUAACAGCGUUCUGUGCACCUUUGGCGUUUAGUCAUGCCGGCCACAUGACCACGGAGACAUCUUCGGACAGCGCUGGCUCUUCAGUUUUGAAGUGGAGAUGAGCACCGUCCCCUAGUCGGGAACAACUAGCACAUAUGUGCGAGGGGAAUCUUUACCUUUACCUUUUUAAAAAUCCAGUGCUUGUUGAAACACAUGGUCCUUUAAAAAGAUGCUAUAUACAGUAUAUAUCACUGGGCUACUAGGAAGCACCAUAAGUUGCAACAGUCUUAAGUUCCUGUGAAAAGAACAAGAAAAGCUAAAAUCUCAUGGCUGCCUCAUGCAGUAGGUAAAAUACAUUACUCUACUGUUUCUGAUUCUUGGAGGUGGGAGAGUUAGAUGAAAUGUUUCCUAGACCUUAAUUCUAAUGCCGCAAAUCUGUUAGCAGCUAAAUGCCUGCAUUUGUUCUAGUUAUGAUGUACUGCAAAAUUCUUUAAAAUCCCUAAUGAUGUUUCCUAAUUUAUUGAAAGAGACAUAUGGAUAAAAAUUAGAAUAGAAAUAAAACAACACACUAUACAUUAGGCUGAAGUUUGAUAAUAAAGUACUAUGGAUGUACGAAAACUCCAUGAUGUGAUAAUCCUCAGUAAAGACCACCUCUAGAA